UGGGGAAUUUUGCACAAUGGGGGAAACCCUGAUGCAGCGACGCCGCGUGAUUUAGAAGGCCUUCGGGUUGUAAAAAUCUUUUCUAUGGGAAGAAAAUGACAGUACCAUAGGAAUAAGGACCGGCUAAUUACGUGCCAGCAGCCGCGGUAAUACGUAAGGUCCGAGCGUUGUCCGGAAUCAUUGGGCGUAAAGGGUACGUAGGCGGGUAAGCAAGUUAGAAGUUAAAUCCUAUAGCUCAACUAUAGUAAGCUUUUAAAACUGCUCAUCUUGAUGUAUGGAAGGGAAAGUGGAAUUCCUAGUGUAGCGGUGAUAAACGCAGAUAUUAGGAGGAAUACCGGUGGCGAAGGCGACUUUCUGGCCAUAACCUGACGCUGAGGUACGAAGGCGUGGGUAGCAAACAGG
rnacentral:rRNA from 1 species